GAAUAGAAACUCAAGGAGAUUUCAGCCUCCAUUGUGAUCAAGGUUCUCCUUUUCAGGUUGCUAUGGGACAGACACCCAGUGGACACAUUCGAGCUGAGCAAGCUAUCACUAUUUCACGGUGAUGGUGCCUUAUCAUUGCCAGAACCCAUGCUGGACGCACUGGACCUCAGGAGGAUUAUUCUCUGAGCGCCAGCGUAGGAUGGCAUCUUGGUCAUAGGAGCCGGGAGACCCAUAAUAGAAGCUCAAGGUGAUUUCAGCCUCCAUUGUGAUCAAGGUCCUCCUUUUCAGGUUGCUAUGGGACAGAGACCCAGGUGAGUUAUGGCCAGGUUUCCUGUCUUGGUUUGGGGAAUUGGUUUAAGUGUUUUCAUUGUAUUCUCAAAAGUCAUUGAUAUAUAUCAAAGGGUUGAUGAUGCCUG